UAGUGAGUUUGGAUCCUGGCUCAGGAUGAACGCUGGCGGUCUGCUUAACACAUGCAAGUCGAACGGGCUCUUCGGAGCUAGUGGCGGACGGGUGAGUAACGCGUGAGAAUCUGCCUUUUGGAUCGGGACAACCACUGGAAACGGUGGCUAAGACCGGAUGUGCCGAAUAGGUGAAAUAUUUAUAGCCAGGGGAUGUGCUCGCGUCUGAUUAGCUAGUUGGAGAGGUAAAGGCUCACCAAGGCAUCGAUCAGUAGCUGGUCUGAGAGGACGAUCAGCCACACGUGGGACUGACACCACGGCCCAGACUCCGUACGGGAGCAGCAGUGGGGU
rnacentral:rRNA from 1 species